CAGUUAUUCAACGUUUUACUGAAAAACUGCAAUUAUCAGCUUAUUGCAUGGCACUUUUCAUAUCGUAUGAAUUAUCAGCCCUAGGUACAAUAUCAGCUCAAGGGUCGCAUGACUCAAAGGCUGAUAUUGACCGAGGGCUGAUAAAUCAUGCGAUAUGAAAAAUGAUUUAUUAUAUAUGCUCCAACAAUGGCGAAAAAAAAACCAGAUUAAUGGAAAAAUAGAAGUUCAAAGAGUGAAAAGUUCACAGACGUCUGACCCCAAAGGAAAUACAUUCAAAAUGAGAUAUGUCUAUCAAAUGCCUCAACAGAGAAGUAAAACAACAGUAUGACUUAUUCUUAUGAGAACGAUUAAAAAAAAAACAAUUCAAC
rnacentral:lncRNA from 1 species